GAUGAACGCUGGCGGCGUGCCUAAUACAUGCAAGUCGAGCGAACGGACGAGAAGCUUGCUUCUCUGAUGUUAGCGGCGGACGGGUGAGUAACACGUGGAUAACCUACCUAUAAGACUGGGAUAACUUCGGGAAACCGGAGCUAAUACCGGAUAAUAUUUUGAACCGCAUGGUUCAAAAGUGAAAGACGGUCUUGCUGUCACUUAUAGAUGGAUCCGCGCUGCAUUAGCUAGUUGGUAAGGUAACGGCUUACCAAGGCAACGAUGCAUAGCCGACCUGAGAGGGUGAUCGGCCACACUGGAACUGAGACACGGUCCAGACUCCUACGGGAGGCAGCAGUAGGGAAUCUUCCGCAAUGGGCGAAAGCCUGACGGAGCAACGCCGCGUGAGUGAUGAAGGUCUUCGGAUCGUAAAACUCUGUUAUUAGGGAAGAACAUAUGUGUAAGUAACUGUGCACAUCUUGACGGUACCUAAUCAGAAAGCCACGGCUAACUACGUGCCAGCAGCCGCGGUAAUACGUAGGUGGCAAGCGUUAUCCGGAAUUAUUGGGCGUAAAGCGCGCGUAGGCGGUUUUUUAAGUCUGAUGUGAAAGCCCACGGCUCAACCGUGGAGGGUCAUUGGAAACUGGAAAACUUGAGUGCAGAAGAGGAAAGUGGAAUUCCAUGUGUAGCGGUGAAAUGCUCAGAGAUAUGGAGGAACACCAGUGGCGAAGGCGACUUUCUGGUCUGUAACUGACGCUGAUGUGCGAAAGCGUGGGGAUCAAACAGGAUUAGAUACCCUGGUAGUCCACGCCGUAAACGAUGAGUGCUAAGUGUUAGGGGGUUUCCGCCCCUUAGUGCUGCAGCUAACGCAUUAAGCACUCCGCCUGGGGAGUACGACCGCAAGGUUGAAACUCAAAGGAAUUGACGGGGACCCGCACAAGCGGUGGAGCAUGUGGUUUAAUUCGAAGCAACGCGAAGAACCUUACCAAAUCUUGACAUCCUUUGACAACUCUAGAGAUAGAGCCUUCCCCUUCGGGGGACAAAGUGACAGGUGGUGCAUGGUUGUCGUCAGCUCGUGUCGUGAGAUGUUGGGUUAAGUCCCGCAACGAGCGCAACCCUUAAGCUUAGUUGCCAUCAUUAAGUUGGGCACUCUAAGUUGACUGCCGGUGACAAACCGGAGGAAGGUGGGGAUGACGUCAAAUCAUCAUGCCCCUUAUGAUUUGGGCUACACACGUGCUACAAUGGACAAUACAAAGGGCAGCGAAACCGCGAGGUCAAGCAAAUCCCAUAAAGUUGUCCUCAGUUCGGAUUGUAGUCUGCAACUCGACUACAUGAAGCUGGAAUCGCUAGUAAUCGUAGAUCAGCAUGCUACGGUGAAUACGUUCCCGGGUCU
rnacentral:rRNA from 1 species